rfam:Pteropus alecto contig51151, whole genome shotgun sequence.
GUCUAUGGCCAUGCCACCCUAAACGUGUCCGAUCUCACCUGAUCUUGGAAGCUAAGCAGGGAUGGGCCUGGUUAGUACUUGGAUGGGAGACCACGUUGGAAUACCAGGUGCUGUAGGCA